AGAGCGAACGCUGGCGGCAGGCUUAACACAUGCAAGUCGAGCGGGCGUAGCAAUACGUCAGCGGCAGACGGGUGAGUAACGCGUGGGAACGUACCUUUUGGUUCGGAACAACACAGGGAAACUUGUGCUAAUACCGGAUAAGCCCUUACGGGGAAAGAUUUAUCGCCAAAAGAUCGGCCCGCGUCUGAUUAGCUAGUUGGUGAGGUAACGGCUCACCAAGGCGACGAUCAGUAGCUGGUCUGAGAGGAUGAUCAGCCACAUUGGGACUGAGACACGGCCCAAACUCCUACGGGAGGCAGCAGUGGGGAAUAUUGGACAAUGGGCGCAAGCCUGAUCCAGCCAUGCCGCGUGAGUGAUGAAGGCCCUAGGGGUUGUAAAGCUCUUUUGUGCGGGAAGAUAAUGACGGUACCGCAAGAAUAAGCCCCGGCUAACUUCGCGCCAGCAGCCGC
rnacentral:rRNA from 1 species